rnacentral:rRNA from 1 species
AACGAACGCUGGCGGCAGGCUUAACACAUGCAAGUCGAGCGCCCCGCAAGGGGAGCGGCAGACGGGUGAGUAACGCGUGGGAACGUACCUUUUGGUUCGGAACAACUCCGGGAAACUGGAGCUAAUACCGGAUAAGCCCUAACGGGGAAAGAUUUAUCGCCGAAAGAUCGGCCCGCGUCUGAUUAGCUAGUGGGUGAGGUAACGGCUCACCAAGGCGACGAUCAGUAGCUGGUCUGAGAGGAUGAUCAGCCACACUGGGACUGAGACACGGCCCAGACUCCUACGGGAGGCAGCAGUGGGGAAUAUUGGACAAUGGGCGCAAGCCUGAUCCAGCCAUGCCGCGUGAGUGAUGAAGGCCUUAGGGUUGUAAAGCUCUUCUGUCCGGGAAGAUAAUGACUGUACCGGAAGAAUAAGCCCCGGCUAACUUCGUG